UACGAAGGGGGCUAGCGUUGCUCGGAAUCACUGGGCGUAAAGCGCACGUAGGCGGCACUGUUAGUCAGGCGUGAAAUUCCUGGGCUCAACCUGGGGACUGCGCUUGAUACGGCAGAGCUUGAGGAUGGAAGAGGGUCGCGGAAUUCCCAGUGUAGAGGUGAAAUUCGUAGAUAUUGGGAAGAACACCGGUGGCGAAGGCGGCGACCUGGUCCAUUACUGACGCUGAGGCGCGACAGCGUGGGGAGCAAACAGG
rnacentral:rRNA from 1 species